GCCUUACCUUAGAAGAAAGCAACGUUUUAAAAUCCACAGCGCACAAGAACUCAGUUUUUAGCAUCAUUAGUUUCACGUGGUCUGCAAAUUCGCGUACAUACAACACACCGCAUGUUUGCAAGUUCACCGACAACUAGUCGCUUUUACACAACCUCUAGCUCGAACGCUGAAUUGGCUGGGUGCGAUCCCAUGAUGGGAGCACACAUGUGGUUUACAUUUGAAUACUUACUACGAGCACUUGACUGGAUUAGAGCGUCAAUAAUCUUAUUAAAAAACGUUUACAAACCAUCACCCCAAUUAUCCAAUGUGGGGCCCCCGUGUAAAUCAAAAACUACCAACGGAAACGCAUCUGACCCUUUUCGGAAGGUGACCAAGGAAGUCGUAAACACACUAAAACUGUGGAAUUUAGUGAAAUCUAAGAGGAAUUAUUUAGUGCAACAAACAUCCAAAUGCGUGGUUUUUGCGAGUAAAGUGUUUAUGCCAUUGCAAACACGAGGCUUAUCAGCUUGGUCUUAGCCGCAUCUGUACAACCCUUAGCCACGUCUACCACCCUUCGGAAUCCCUAUAAAUACGGAAGAAAUGCAGUUCUUUGCUAUAAUGUCUUUGACAAUCGACAACGGCAUUGACUCUCCAGAUCUUCCAUAACACACAUAUCGAUUAAGAAUGGCAAACUCACAAACCGACUUUUUGAAGUACAUGGAGUGUCCGGUCUGUCUGGACAUUCUUCGUCUUCCUGUCCGUUUAUGCGGAAACAGACACAGUAUUUGCCAUGACUGCCACUACCAAAUACUGAAAACCUCGCAGAUAGCAAAAUGUCCAGUUUGUCAGGAAGACUUCGACUUCGACUCUUGCCCUGUCAAGGGGCAGUUGUAUCUCACGAUGGAGGUGACCUGCAGAUUCAUCGGAUGCAAAAUAAAGGGGUAUGGCGCAGAAGUAAUUCAACACGAAAGAAGAUGUAUCUUUCGACUACGACGAUGUCCUUGGAAAGGGCCCCAGACGUGGUUAGCAAACCAUUACUUCGUAAAACAUGCAUAGUAAUGACAUUUAUUGACAUAUAUUGUAAGCAAAUUUUCAAAACCGAUA